rnacentral:sRNA from 1 species
AUACCAGAGAAGAAAGGAAAAGAAGCAAAUACAGGUUUUGGUGGGCCAGUUAUUAGUUCUCUAUAUCAUGAAGAAACCAUCAGGGAAGAAGACAAAAAUAUAUUUGAUUACUGCAGGGAAAACAACAUUGAUCAUAUAACCAAAGCCAUCAAAUCGAAAAAUGUGGAUGUGAAUGUGAAAGAUGAAGAGGGUAGGGCUCUACUUCACUGGGCCUGUGAUCGAGGACAUAAGGAACUAGUCACAGUCUUGCUGCAACAUAGAGCUGACAUUAACUGUCAGGACAAUGAAGGCCAAACAGCUCUACAUUAUGCCUCUGCCUGUGAGUUUCUGGAUAUUGUAGAGCUGCUGCUCCAGUCUGGUGCUGACCCCACUCUCCGAGACCAGGAUGGCUGCCUGCCAGAGGAGGUGACAGGCUGCAAAACAGUUUCUUUGGUGCUGCAGCGGCACACAACUGGCAAGGCUUAAUCAAAAGACUGGAAAACUGCAGUCUGUAAUAGCAUAAGGCUUCCAUUAUGAAAGAAAACUACAAAAAUAAUACUUCUUUUCCGCCCGUCUUUGCUGAGUAGAAUCCUGGGCCCAAGGGGAAAGGACAGGAAAGCAAUGGAACACCGACUGCGGAGCUUCCAUUUGUUCUCCUGAUUUUGCUCAUUUUACAGCCCACAGCCUGUCUUG